rnacentral:rRNA from 1 species
AAUCAACGCUGGCGGCGUGCCUCAGACAUGCAAGUCGAACGCGAAAUUUCCCUUCGGGAGAAAGUAGAGUGGCGCACGGGUGAGUAACACGUAGGUAAUCUACCUUUGGGUGGGGAAUAACAGCCGGAAACGGCUGCUAAUACCGCAUAAUGCAGCGGCCCGACAUCGAGACAGUUGUUAAAGCGGGGACCGGAGCAAUCCGACCUCGCGCCUUAAGAGGAGCCUGCGGCAGAUUAGCUAGUUGGUAGGGUAAGUGGCCUACCAAGGCAACGAUCUGUAACCGGCCUGAGAGGGCGGUCGGUCACACUGACACUGACAUACGGGUCAGACUCCUAC